UCCCAUCUUCCCCCACAUUGUAGUUUUAUAUGUUUUAUGGCCAAACUUCUAAAGGUUUUUAGUCGUUCGCACUUAGAGAUAAUUAUGAGAAGUAGCUUGUAC